GACGAACGCUGGCGGCGUGCCUAAUACAUGCAAGUAGAACGCUGAAGGAGGAGCUUGCUUCUCUGGAUGAGUUGCGAACGGGUGAGUAACGCGUAGGUAACCUGCCUGGUAGUGGGGGAUAACUAUUGGAAACGAUAGCUAAUACCGCAUAAUAGCAGUUGUUGCAUGAUAACUGUUUGAAAGAUGCAAUUGCACCGCUACCAGAUGGACCUGCGUUGUAUUAGCAAGUUGGUGGGGUAACUGCUUACCAAGGCGACGAUACAUAGCCGACCAGAAAGGGUGAUCAGCCACACUGAGACUGAGACCCGGCCCAGACUGCAUCAGGAGGCAGCAGUAGGGAAUCGUCGGCAAUCGACGGGAGUCUGAACGAGCAAGGCCGCGUGAGUGAAGAAGGUUAGCGGUUCGUAAGGCUCGGUUUUAGGUGGAGAACGAGUGUGAUAGUGGAAAGUUCCCAGUGUGACGGUACCUUACCAGAAAGGUACGGCUAACUACGUG
rnacentral:rRNA from 1 species